GUGGGGAAUCUUAGACAAUGGGGGAAACCCUGAUCUAGCCAUGCCGCGUGAGCGAUGAAGGCCUUAGGGUUGUAAAGCUCUUUCAGAUGGGAAGAUAAUGACGGUACCAUCAGAAGAAGCCCCGGCUAACUCCGUGCCAGCAGCCGCGGUAAUACGGAGGGGGCUAGCGUUGUUCGGAAUUACUGGGCGUAAAGCGCACGUAGGCGGACCAGAAAGUCAGAGGUGAAAUCCCAGGGCUCAACCUUGGAACUGCCUUUGAAACUCCUGGUCUUGAGGUCGAGAGAGGUGAGUGGAAUUCCGAGUGUAGAGGUGAAAUUCGUAGAUAUUCGGAAGAACACCAGUGGCGAAGGCGACUCACUGGCCCAAUACUGACGCUGAGGCGCGAAAGCGUGGGGAGCAAACAGGAUUAGAAACCCUUGUAGUCC
rnacentral:rRNA from 1 species